rnacentral:lncRNA from 1 species
UAGAUUCUGAAGCACAUCUAACUCUUGAGAGCCUUUAGAAGGAUGCACUGUUUAUACCAUUCGCCAACAUAGAGCAGAAACAAACAGGUGCAUUCAAACAGCCUCACCUACCCAAAUUCCUUUCCCUUUCUAUAGAAGCUCAUUGUGCACUAAUUGUACAUGAAACCAAUGACAAGCAAAUAAAAUACUUACAUGAUUUAGAAUUACAGGACAAACUCAUCAUAUAUAGAAUCAAAGAAAGUUGAACUAUCUUUGCCUCUGGGAAUUAAUAAAGAGAAAAGAACGUAUCACCACAAUAACACACUCGAAGGUACCAACAUCCUAUCACAAAUAAAAAAGGCAAGUACCAGCAUUCUAUCACAAAUAAAAACGGCAAGUGCCAACACCCAAUAGACUUAUUUCUCCACCAUCUUGUAACUACAUCUGCUUUUCAUCCAUCUAAAGUCUUUCUCCAAGAUCAUCGUGAACCCAAUGUGCAUGAGUAGGUCUCUAGGUGACAGAGUGCAAAUAACAACACGCAAUUCCAUAAGAAGUUUCUCUCAUAAAAACGUAAGAAGUUAUCACAUGAGCUGCAUCCGACAAUAGUGGAGGGAAAUUAUACUAUGAAAGGAGAUAAUGGAAGUUGAGAAGAUUAACUAUUUACCUUCACUAUCAGUGUCAUAUCAUAGGCGGACACAACAUAUUUUAGAUUAGAGUGAUGUCACUUUGCCACUGUUGAUACUCCAAGGACAU